rnacentral:ncRNA from 1 species
GUUCAGUGCACCCAAUGCAUUGGAUGGAUGCCCGGGCUUUGAGAAGGAAGGACGCUUGAAGAGGCGAAAGGCCAUGGGGAGAUAUCGUCUGUGAUCCAUGGAUCUCCGAUCGGGAAACCUUAUCCAAGCUCCGUGGUUAGUCUGCGCUCUUUGGACUUUGAAAACUUAGCGAAUUGAAACAUCUGAGUAGCUAAAGGAAGGGAAAUCAACCGAGACCCCCUUACUAGUGGCGAGCGAGAGCGGAUUGGGGCUUUGAAGAAAAAGAAACACGAAGCUUACCACGAAGCUUCGCUCUAGCAAAGCAAAGCAAUUCAAUCUUCUGUCAUUCGCGAAGCGGAACGGAGCAAAGGUGCGAAGCCGCUUAGCCUCGUUCCUCUUGCUUCGCUCAUGGCACGCUCAGUGCUUAUGCACUUCGCUUCCUUUCCUAUUAGGCUCGUUUCGUAGAAUUGCACUUGUUUAAACGUAACUCGUUCUCGAUCAGCCUAACAAACUAGUUUUCAUAGGCUCCUAUUAAGCUCGUGUAACUCGUUCUCGUUGGUUUCAUUCGAUUUGUUGUGGAUUGGAUGAUGGAAAAACCGUUGGUUCGGGAAUUGUGAAAAGGUAGGAAGAUCUGGCCAAAGAAUGUGAUAGCCCUGUAGAUUCAUUCCCAUGGUUCUAUCCUUCCCAGUAAAACGCGACGUGUUCAAAUUUUGAUCGCUUUUACGCGAGAAAGGGGGACCACCCUCUAAGCCUAAGUCUUCCUCAAUGACCGAUAGCGUACAAGUACUGUGAGGGAAAGGUGAAAAGAACCCUAUUUAGGGAGUGCAAUAGAGAACCUGAGAUCCGAUGCGAACAAUCAGUCGAAGGAGCAGAGCUUAGAGCCAAACGACGAGCGCACUCACUCUAACGGCGUACCUUUCGCAUGAUGGGUCAGCGAGGAAAUGGGAACUCGGCUUAAGCCAUUAGGUGUAGGCGCUUUCCAAAGGUUGAAUCUUCCAAUUGUUCCUAUUUGACCCGAAACCGAUCGAUCUAGCCAUGAGCAGGUUGAAGAGAGCUCUAAUAGGCCUUGGAGGACCGAACCCACGUAUGUGGCAAAAUAUGGGGAUGACUUGUGGCUAGGGGUGAAAGGCCAACCAAGAUCGGAUAUAGCUGGUUUUCCGCGAAAUCUAUUUCAGUAGAGCGUAUGAUGUCGAUGGCCCGAGGUAGAGCACUCAAUGGGCUAGAGUGGCCCCCAAAAAGCUUGACCAACCCCAGGGAAACUCCGAAGACAGGCCUAGAUCGCUUGUAUAGACAGACACUUUGGGUGUUAAGAUCCAAAGUCGAGAGGGAAACAGCCCAGAUCGUACGCUAAGGUCCCUAAGCAAUCUCUUAGUGGAAAAGGAAAUGAUCGAGCGAUGACAAUCAGGAGGUGGGUUGGGAAGCAGUCAUCCUUUGAAGAAAGCGUAAUAGCUCACUGAUCUAGCUCCAUGGCACCGAAAAUGUAUCAAGGCCCAAGUGAUUCACCGAAGCAACGAGACCUUGAAAGCAUUUUCAAGUGUCAGUAGUGGGACGUUCUGUCAAUCGGGGAAGGUUUUUGGUUACAACACCUGGAGAUAUCAGAAGUGAGAAUGCUGACUUGAGUAACAAGAAAUCCUGUGAAAGACACGAUCGCUUUCCAGUUCAAGGCUUUAUGCGUUCAGUCAAUCUACGCAGAGUGAAUCGGUCCCUAAGGAAGCCCCAAAAGGGCUGCCGUCCGAUGGGUACACGAGAGUGACGAAGUUGCUUUGAACCUGUUAUCUCUUUCUCUCUCGCUUUCUCUUGCCUCUAACGUUGAUGUUGAAACCAACCCCUUGCUGAUUACUCUCUCCAGCUAUCAAACCAACCAGUAGUGUCCUGUAGUCACCAACUACAGCCAAAGGAAACCAGCUGCAAUCGAAUCUAUCACCAUAAGAUCAAUUCUCUGUUGUUUUUGCAGCAGAGAAAACAACUGCAAAAUUCUAUAUUUUGAUUGCAUGAAGCGAGAGAGAAGGUGGGUCACAAAUCUUGGUUGAUGUUAGCACAAAGAGAAGGUGAGGCACGAUCUUGGUUGAGAGAGAAUGAGACUCCACGCUGAUCCAAAUUUGUUUAGAGAGAGAGUAGGGCAUGAUCUUGGUUUUGAAAUUUAAAUUUGGUUUUGAAUUUUGAAUGUGGGCUUGACUUGUAUUUCAAAUUUGGCAUUUUGAUUUUGAAAUUUGAGCAUCAUUUAUAAUUACUACUAAUGCCCUCCAAAAAUUUGAUUCGAAUAAGGAAACUAGUGUAAUUUUAAACAAUAUAGGGGUAACAUAUUGUCAAGAAUGUUGAAGUAGGGUAUUCUAAAAUCACCAUUAGUAUGGUGAAUUCUAGAAAAACCCUAUAUAUAUAGGAAAAAGUUUAUAUAAGGAUGCUACCUUAUAAUGUAGAACUACGGAUGCCCUUCAAAAAUCCAUCGAAAAAGGUAGUUUUAAUGUUGAAAAACCCUUUGAUUGAUCAUCUCGACAUCAAGAUGUAUGACUAUGAAAAAUAAAAAGGUUUUUAAGUCUCAUAAAGUGUGCAUUUUACAAUAUAUUAUCUACACCAUUCAUUGUCAAGAUUUUCAUGUGUUUAUAGAUCUACUUGAUUUUAACCAUUUUUGAAAUUUAAAAUUUUAUAAUUAGAUAUAGAAAUAGAUUUUGAGAUAAUCCUAAUAACAUUUUACAUCAAAAUUAUAUACCAUGAUAAAAUUUGAAGGGCACCAUACGUCUACCACACCUACGGAGGCGUCCGUAUACUAACUGCACCCAUAUAUAUAUGUAUAUAUAUAUAUAUAUAUAUAUAGAAAUGCUAGCGUAGACCAGAGGGCUUAUAGCUACAUAUGAGCCCAACGGCUCAGAUUCAAUCUUGGUUAAUUUGAUAGACACGACUUCAUUUGGUAUUUUAAUUUUAAAUUUUUUUCUACAAAUCCAUAACAUGUGAAAUUUUAGGCAUCUAUUUUUCUCAUCAACGUACAUCUAAUAAAAAAUAUUAAAAAAAAUAAUUCGCAAGAUAUAAAUCGAUCAAAAUGCCCCUCAAAAGUUUUGAGGGUAUUUUGGUCAAUUUAUUUCUCACGAAAUAUGUUUUUGAUAUUUUUAUUGGAUUAUCCUAUUUUUAAAGAACACACGCCCAAAAUUUCAAGUGAUUUAAAUUUAUAGAAAAAAAAUUAAAAUUAAAAUACGAACUGCAAUCGUGAUGAUUGGAUCGGCCCAGAUUCAACGUUGGGCUCAUAUGUAGCUGUAGGCCCACUGGCCUACGCUAUUAUUUCCCAUAUAUAUAUAUGUGUAUAUGUGUGUGUGUCUAUAUAUAUAUAUAUAUAUAGA